rnacentral:RNase_P_RNA from 1 species
GCCGGACGGUCUGUCGCUUGCGCCUCCGUGCGCACGAGGAAAGUCCGGGCAACACAGAGCAUCCCACUUCCUAACAGAAAGCUGUCCGCAAGGGUGGAGUAACGCAGAAGAAAACAACCGCCCCGCUCCGCAAGGAUGUCGGGGUAAGGGUGAGAAGGCGGGGUAAGAGCCCACCAGGCUUGUGGCGACACAAGUGCUGUGCGUCUUGGGAGUUGUAAGGUCAUGUAAACCGACGUCAAGAGGGUUGCUCGCCCCAUGUCGGAGGGUAGACCGCUAAAGCCGUCAGGUGACUGCCGGCUCAGAUAAAUGACAGACACUUGCCCCCGCGGCAAGCACAGAACCCGGCUUACAGGCUGGCUG